rnacentral:tRNA from 1 species
GGUUGUUUAGUUUAAUUAAAAUACAGGUUUUGUAAUCCUGUGAUAAUUUGUUUAAAUUAAUGAC